rnacentral:lncRNA from 1 species
UUUGAAUUUCAGAUGGAGAUCUUAUAACAAUUUUUGAUAGUUCUGACCUUUCCUUUGCAAUUCAGUGUAGUAGAAUACUGAAACUGACAUUAUUUGUUAAUGGCCAGCCAAGACCCCUUGAAUCAAGUCAGGUGAAAUAUCUUCGUCGAGAACUGAUAGAACUUCGGAAUAAAGUGAAUCGCUUAUUGGACAGCUUAGAGCCGCCUGGAGAACCAGGGCCUUCCACCAGUAUUCCUGAAAAUGAUACUGUGGAUGGUAGGGAAGAAAAGCCUGCUGCUUCUGAUUCUUCUGGGAAACAGUCUACUCAGGUUAUGGCAGCAAGUAUGUCAGCUUUUGAUCCUCUAAAAAACCAAGAUGAAAUCAACAAAAAUGUCAUGUCAGCAUUUGGAUUAACAGACGACCAGGUUUCAGGACCACCCAGUGCUCCUACAGAAGACCGUUCCGGAACACCUGACAGCAUUGCUUCUUCCUCUUCGGCAGCACACCCAGCAGCAGGUCAGCCACAGCAACCUCCCUAUGCAGGAGCUCAGACACAAGCAGGUCAGAUUGAAGCUAGUUACAGCCAGCAGACUGGACCCCAACAACCUCAGCAGUUCCAGGGAUAUGGCCAACAACCAACUUCCCAGGCACCGGCUCCUGCCUUUUCUGGCCAGCCACAACAACUGCCCGCUCAACCACCACAGCAGUACCAGGCGAGCACUUACCCUCCACAGACUUACACUACCCAGACAUCUCAGCCUGCUAACUAUACUGUUCCCCCCGGCUCUCAGCCUGGAAUGGCUCCAAGCCAACCUGGUGCUUACCAACCAAGACCAGGUUUUACACCAUCUCCUGCAAGUACCAUGGCCCCUCCUUCCACUGGGGCUAACCCUUAUGCUCGUAACCGUCCUCCUUUUGGUCAGGGCUAUACCCAACCUGGACCUGGUUAUCGAUAAGGAGGUUCAGCCACACUAAUAAUGAUGGCUUAUUGC